rnacentral:lncRNA from 10 species
GCUUAGGGCUUGACAAAAAGGCUGCAGACAAUGAGUGGUUUGAAUGUCUGAAAAGAAGUAUCAGGGAGUGACCUGAAUUAAUAACACAAUUGUUGCAAGAUAUAUCCAAGAUGUUAAAAAGCUCUGCCUUGCCAUUUCACUCUUUAAUGAGGCAGUUUGGACAGGCUUCCCUUCAAUAUGCCUUGCCUUCCUUUUUGAGGUGACGAUGCAAUAUAAGUGUGCCAUCUAGGUCAGGGCCAUCAUCAUCUCUGGCUGAUGCAUUAAAAUAAACUGAAAUAAAAUGAAACAGCUGGUCAAGGCUAAUUUCCUUCCCACCACCAAGAUCCUUUAUAGGCAAUGUGGUCAUCAGUUGCACGUCUUCACUUGCAAAUGUUUCAAGGGAUGUGAUGAAGUGGAGGCCAGCCAGGGUAUUGGACAAUAAUUCCAUCUUCUCAUAAGUUGAAAAACAAAUUGGGGGCUCCAUUGCCUAUGGAAUAAACCAAACAAAGAAGAAGGAAUGGGCUUAUGUGCGAGGUAUUGAGUUUCCUGUAACUAUUGCAAGCCCCCACCUAUGUUGGUUAAUUCUGCUUCACAUGGAAGAGACAGCCAUUGGGCCAGCCCUGAACAAAGAUCCCUGUCACCAAGAUCCACUGCUCCUGCUGUGGUCAGGCAAAGAGAAGGUUAUGUCUCCUGAGUUCUAGUUCUCCGUCCUGAAGUCCAUGUAAUGUGAGUUACAAGCCGUCUGCAGAGGUGAGCAUUCGACUCUGGCCAGCUCAAGUUAUUCGGCAAGGUGUGAUUGUCCAGUCUUGAGGCUGUUUGCUGGGAGAAGCACGACAUAGGCUAUUGCCAGUGCCAAGGAGAACAAUCCUAAUAAGACUGACAGCCCUGCCCAAAUGACAUGGCAUUGAAAAUGACACCUGACUGAAUGAAGCUGACACUGAGGUAGGCACUGAGCUUCUUCAGAGAGAAGGGAGGGACCAGCCACAGAGGAGGCAUGAUCCAAACUUUUGGGAUCCUCAGAAAUGUUUACCCAAGCUCCAUGAAACAAUCAUAAAGGAACAAAAGGACAAAGUAAUUGGGGGAAUAUAACAACAAUGAACACAGAGACCACAGCAUGGUGCUGAAGAGCGUGAUCUCAGGAAUACAGAACUGGAUUUAAAUCCCUGCCUCAGAUGACUUUGUGAACCACGUAUCCUCUAUGGAAAUCAGUUUCUUCAUCAUUGAAAUGGAGAUAACUGGUAAGUCAUUGGAGUUGUGUGCUGAUUAAUGAGGUAAUGUCUGCAGUGGUUAGUAUAGUAUGUGGCACAUUUAACAAGUGGGUCUUCAUGAAGCUGAAACAAGGAUACCAAAGGACCAAAACUGGUCAUCGUUCAUCUCACACACCCAGAGGACACAGAGUCUGAGUGUGAAGGAAAUGAGCAUUCAGGCCCCUGGGGAGUUGAACUCAUGUGGGACAGGUGUAGUACAUCAGGAUUUCCUGUGGCCUCUAGGAGCCACCCUUCA